AUGAAACGGAUAAUUUGAUUUCAGUCCGACUAAGCCAGUUAUUCGAAACCAUGCUGGCUGAUAAACUCUGAUCCCUCCCAGUGAGAACAUUCGGACUUUGACUCUGUCACAACAGAGGCAGGACACAGACUUGGAAUCAAAAGGGCGCACUGAUCAGAUGAGGCCCCCGAUGGUGGGGCGUAGAAGCAUAUGGAUAUGACGUCCCAAUCAGUGAGUCGCUCCACAGUCCAGGCCACAAAGUUGACAUUUUGUAUAAUUGUGCUUCCUACUGUGGCCUCCCAGCCCAUUUCUGCGGAAUGGCCAUCCGAUGUGCUGCACUAACUGUUAACACACUACAUACCACAGCACUGAGAAAGAUUAAUUCCCCUGCCAAGGAUUGCUUUCUUCCCGUAAUCAUCAAACUGAGCGCGGGUCCUUUCCGGAAUGCAUGUGUGUUUUAGGAAAAAGGGUUCUGUACACAUGUUCAAAUGGAAUGUUUCAUGCAAACUCGCUGGACAAGAUUCACAGAUAAAUAAUCAGCUGAUUUCCCCCUCGCUUCAACGUGCAUCCUGUGGGUCGAGCGAGCAUUACCUGGACCUCUGCUUGUCAACGUGAGGUAUCCCCUUUUCUUUGCACCCUUCUACCUUCGGCCGGCUCCUCGUUCCCAUUGGGUUUUAAGUGGAGCGGCUGUCUUCGGUUGGAGCUGAAGGAGUAUUUGUCCUCGUGACUAUUGGGAAUCUCAACUGAGACUGAAAACCUCCUUUCACAGUAAUUACAUUGUUGUGUUAAGCAGUUUUGUAAAGGGAGGCUCAUUCCUCUCCUGCUGAGUCACAGGAGACAGGGACAAUCUGCACACACCCCCAAACCCCCUCCUCUCCUCAACUGUCCCGCCAAAAAGCAACUGGAUUCAUCCAGAAACUCCCAGCUGGUGGGGGAGGAUGUGCCAAACGGGCCCCUGGUUGUAGCUGUGGAAGAAGAGAAGACACCUUUUAGAAUGCUGAACGGCUUCCAGAGAAAACUAUCAAUUACUUCUUUUUUUUUUGCGUGCAUCUAAUAAUAGUGUAACAAAGGUUAUGUUUAUUAUCAAAAGCAGAGUGUGGCUAUACGUUGCACUUUUACACACACUUUAGUUCCUACCCGUAAAUGCCAAAAAUCACAUUGGUCUUCAUUCUCCUUAACACCAAAGAUGCACAUCGAAGCACUGGGCUCAAGGUUAAGAAGAAGGGACCCUGAUAAGACUUUUAAUAUUGACACCCAGUCAUUUGUCAAUUGAGGACAGGAACAGAACAUGUGUGUAAGAUCUGCUGGUGAAUUUUGACAUCUAUCAACAUCGCAGCGACCCUUUACAGUAGAGUGCAUUCCUGAGAGUUUAGAGUAGUGAAAGCGAUGCAGUACUGCAGUAGUUGUAGCACAUUUAACCGUGCACACGAGGAGCUGUGUGGGCCUGGAUGCUAUGAAUUGCUUUGUAGGGGAAAUCCGUAUCAUUAGUUUUUUUAUCACUUCUCCCUUUUCCGUUGUUUCCCAGAAGCCCCCCAAAAAAAUAGCCCUUGAUGACAAGCACUUUUGCUACGCGGAUGUUUGGAGAAUGGAAUGUCAGGCCCCCUCGCCCUGACCGGCACCCUCACAUUGUCCCUCAAAGACGUGUGUUUUUACAAACCAGGAGGAGACUCAAGAACAACAAUGGAAGACGCACAAAACAACAACAAAAGGAGCAUGAACAACUCUUAGGUCAGGGUCUCCCUGCUAGCCGCUACAGGUCCCCUGGUUGAGGGAGGGUCCGACUACUCCAUCUGGGCCUGAUGGUCCCAGGAGAGGAUCACUGUUCUGCAGCAUCGGGCCUGACAUCAUUGCUAUGAGGGAAGGUUCAGGGGAACCGAAAGAGCCAAACUUCCAAACAGCUCUUUGUUUUUAUUCAACAAUAUCACAAAAUCAAAAGAGAAAAAUAAAACCCUAUUCUCAAUAAGUGACGUUUUUUUAAAUCAGUCGAGGUUCAGAAGAUUCCGGUAUUCAGGGGCGUUGUGCUGCUGUGUAAAGAUUCUGAACGGUGAUGUCAUGCAUUUUGGGAGCAAUAAACUGCAGAUGUGA